GGCGAGUUAGCUCAGUUGGUAGAGCAGAGGACUGAAAAUCCUUGUGUCCCCGGUUCGAUUCCGGGACUCGCCA
rnacentral:tRNA from 1 species